CUUGGUUAGAGGAAGUAAAAGUCGUAACAAGGUUUCCGUAGGUGAACCUGCGGAAGGAUCAUUAACACGUCUUUCUUUCAAAUAUUGAACACGUGAACACUAAUAUAACUCUCUAUCACUAUUCUACAUUCACGUGUAGAGUAGUGAUAAAGAGGCGGUGAUAAUGAGUAACAAUUGUUAUUUUUUGUCAUCGUUGCUGUUCCACACCAAUUAUGAACGAAAAAUGAAAUAAUGCUAAGUAUAUUUAACACUUUCAACAGUGGAUAUCUUGGCUCCCA
rnacentral:misc_RNA from 1 species